GCUCCUGUAGUUCAAUGGAUAGAACACGGGCCUUCUAAGCCUGAAAUCUAGGUCCGAUUCCUAGCGGGAGCACCA
rnacentral:tRNA from 1 species